GCUUUGUCUGCAUCUAGGUUUAUUAACAUUUCUUGUUUCCUAUUCUCUAGGUUGCUUUGGUAAACUACUGCUAGUAUUUUCCUGAGGGCUUGGACGGGGUGGCGUCGUCUAAGGAAUCCAGUUUGUUGCUCGGUGCGUCAAGGAUGUCGCGGUCUUGUACUGAGAGUUUGUGAAGUCCAGCUUCUCGCAAGAAUUGCAAGCCGUCUUGGGGGUUGUCCUCUACUGUUUGAUAUAGUUUUUUAAAAUGUUCGGUAAUAAUAUUUAUGAUUUGAUUUGGGUCUUGUGUACAUCCAUCUGAUGAUUUAAGUUUUUGAAUGAAUGUGUUCCUUGUCUGUCUUUUCGCUAAAAGUGCUAAGAGUUUUCCUGAUUUGUUUCCAUGUCUAUAAAAUUUAUGUGUUGUAUAGCUCAAUGUUUGAUAUGCUUUCUCCGUCAAUAAAGUAUCAAAAAG